AACGCGAAGAACCUUACCAGCUCUUGACAUGUCCCGUAUGAGUACCAGAGAUGGAACUCUUCAGUUCGGCUGGCGGGAACACAGGUGCUGCAUGGCUGUCGUCAGCUCGUGUCGUGAGAUGUUGGGUUAAGUCCCGCAACGAGCGCAACCCUCGCCCUUAGUUGCCAUCAUUUAGUUGGGCACUCUAAGGGGACUGCCGGUGAUAAGCCGCGAGGAAGGUGGGGAUGACGUCAAGUCCUCAUGGCCCUUACGGGCUGGGCUACACACGUGCUACAAUGGCGGUGACAAUGGGAUGCUGAGGGGUAACCCCGAGCAAAUCUCAAAAAGCCGUCUCAGUUCGGAUUGUGCUCUGCAACUCGAGCACAUGAAGUUGGAAUCGCUAGUAAUCGCAGAUCAGCACGCUGCGGUGAAUACGUUCCCGGGCCUUGUA
rnacentral:rRNA from 1 species